GACGAACGCUGGCGGCGUGCUUAACACAUGCAAGUCGAACGAUGAUGCCCAGCUUGCUGGGUGGAUUAGUGGCGAACGGGUGAGUAACACGUGAGUAACCUGCCCCUGACUCUGGGAUAAGCGUUGGAAACGACGUCUAAUACUGGAUAUGACUGCCGGCCGCAUGGUCUGGUGGUGGAAAGAUUUUUUGGUUGGGGAUGGACUCGCGGCCUAUCAGCUUGUUGGUGAGGUAAUGGCUCACCAAGGGGACGACGGGUAGCCGGCAUGGGAGGGUGACCGGCCACACUGGGACUGAGACACGGCCCAGACGCCUACGGGAGGCAGGAGUGGGGAAUAUUGCACAAUGGGCGAAAGCCUGAUGCAGCAACGCCGCGUGAGGGAUGACGGCCUUCGGGUUGUAAACCGCUUUUAGUAGGGAAGAAGCGAAAGUGACGGUACCUGCAGAAAAAGCACCGGCUAACUACGUGCCAGCCGCCGCCGUAA
rnacentral:rRNA from 1 species